rnacentral:rRNA from 1 species
GACAGAGGAUGCAAGCGUUAUCCGGAAUGAUUGGGCGUAAAGCGUCUGUAGGUGGCUUUUUAAGUCCGCCGUCAAAUCCCAGGGCUCAACCCUGGACAGGCGGUGGAAACUACCAAGCUGGAGUAUGGUAGGGGUAGAGGGAAUUUCCAGUGGAGCGGUGAAAUGCGUAGAUAUUGGAAAGACCACCGAUGGCGAAGGCACUCUACUGGGCCAUUACCGACACUGAGAGACGAAAGCUAGGGGAGCAAAUGGG